rnacentral:rRNA from 1 species
GACGAACGCUGGCGGCGUGCUUAACACAUGCAAGUCGAACGGAAAGGCCCUGCUUUUGUGGGGUGCUCGAGUGGCGAACGGGUGAGUAACACGUGAGUAACCUGCCCUUGACUUUGGGAUAACUUCAGGAAACUGGGGCUAAUACCGGAUAGGAGCUCCUGCUGCAUGGUGGGGGUUGGAAAGUUUCGGCGGUUGGGGAUGGACUCGCGGCUUAUCAGCUUGUUGGUGGGGUAGUGGCUUACCAAGGCUUUGACGGGUAGCCGGCCUGGGAGGGUGACCGGCCACAAUGGGACUGAGGUACGGCCCAGACUCCUACGGGAGGCAGCAGUGGGGAAUAUGGCACAAUGGGCGGAAGCCUGAGGCAGCAGCGCCGCGUGCGGGAUGACGGCCUUCGGGUUGUAAACCGCUUUCGCCUGUGACGAAGCGUGAGUGACGGUAAUGGGUAAAGAAGCACCGGCUAACUACGUG